rnacentral:rRNA from 1 species
AGUGAACGCUGGCGGUAGGCCUAACACAUGCAAGUCGGACGGCAGCACAGUAAGAGCUUGCUCUUACGGGUGGCGAGUGGCGGACGGGUGAGGAAUACAUCGGAAUCUACUUUUUCGUGGGGGAUAACGUAGGGAAACUUACGCUAAUACCGCAUACGACCUACGGGUGAAAGCAGGGGAUCUUCGGACCUUGCGCGAUUGAAUGAGCCGAUGUCGGAUUAGCUAGUUGGCGGGGUAAAGGCCCACCAAGGCGACGAUCCGUAGCUGGUCUGAGAGGAUGAUCAGCCACACUGGAACUGAGACACGGUCCAGACUCCUACGGGAGGCAGCAGUGGGGAAUAUUGGACAAUGGGCGCAAGCCUGAUCCAGCCAUACCGCGUGGGUGAAGAAGGCCUUCGGGUUGUAAAGCCCUUUUGUUGGGAAAGAAAAGCAGCAGGUUAAUACCCCGCUGUUCCGACGGUACCCAAAGAAUAAGCACCGGCUAACUUCGUG